GUUGAGUUACAGGUGUGUCUGCCGGGAGGACUUCUCCAGGUCCAGGGCUGGAUGCUUGGCCCCAACCCAGCUCCCAUGGCAGGGGUCCUGCAAAAGGAAAGACCCAAGAUACUGCAGCCAAAACAUCUCAUGAGGCAGAUGAAUUCCUGAGACAAACACAGAAGCAAGCACCCCGAGGACAAGUGAUGGACCAAAAGGCUGUUCAGGAGGAGGAACACUCAGGGAGAAGCAGUGGCUCAUUGGCAGCCCUAGCUGCAGGAAGGAAGGUGAUGGCAGAGACGGGCACAGGCACAGCAG